CCUACGGGGGGCAGCAGUGGGGAAUAUUGGACAAUGGGGGGAACCCUGAUCCAGCCAUGCCGCGUGUGUGAAGAAGGCCCUCGGGUUGUAAAGCACUUUCAGUGAGGAAGAACGCCUGGUGGUUAAUACCCAUCAGGAAAGACAUCACUCACAGAAGAAGCACCGGCUAACUCCGUGGCCAGCAGCCGCGGUAAUACGGAGGGUGCGAGCGUUAAUCGGAAUUACUGGGCGUAAAGCGCGCGUAGGUGGCUUGAUAAGCCGGUUGUGAAAGCCCCGGGCUCAACCUGGGAACGGCAUCCGGAACUGUCAAGCUAGAGUGCAGGAGAGGAAGGUAGAAUUCCCGGUGUAGCGGUGAAAUGCGUAGAGAUCGGGAGGAAUACCAGUGGCGAAGGCGGCCUUCUGGACUGACACUGACACUGAGGUGCGAAAGCGUGGGUAGCAAACAGGAUUAGAUACCCUGGUAGUC
rnacentral:rRNA from 1 species